ACUCCUACGGGAGGCAGCAGUGGGGAAUAUUGCACAAUGGAGGAAACUCUGAUGCAGCAACGCCGCGUGGAGGAUGACACUUUUCGGAGCGUAAACUCCUUUUAUAUAGGAAGAUAAAUGACGGUACUAUAUGAA
rnacentral:rRNA from 1 species